rnacentral:rRNA from 1 species
GCUAAACGCGAAGAACCUUACCCGGGUUUGACAUGUACGGAAAAGCCGCAGAGAUGCGGUGUCCUUUUGGGCCGUACACAGGUGGUGCAUGGUUGUCGUCAGCUCGUGUCGUGAGAUGUUGGGUUAAGUCCCGCAACGAGCGCAACCCUUGUCCUAUGUUGCCAGCGGGUAAUGCCGGGGACUCGUAGGAGACUGCCGGGGACAACUCGGAGGAAGGUGGGGAUGACGUCAAAUCAUCAUGCCCCUUAUGUCCAGGGCUGCAAACAUGCUACAAUGGCCAGUACAAAGGGCUGCUAUACCGCGAGGUUGAGCGAAUCCCAUAAAGCUGGUCUCAGUUCGGAUUGGAGUCUGCAACUCGACUCCAUGAAGCUGGAGUUGCUAGUAAUCGCAGAUCAGCAACGCUGCGGUGAAUACGUUCCCGGGUCUUGUACACACCG